rnacentral:piRNA from 1 species
UGCUUCAGCACCAAGACUUCAAGAUGCCU